UGCUCUUUUGUAUUUUAUUUUCUUUCUGACAAGUCAACACAGAGACUUGUAAAGACCUGGAACAAGUAGGGAAUCGUCUGAUUUCUGCUGUUAUUAUAAAUCCAACCAAUCAAAUUACAAUAUACAAGAGAUGCAGCAACAAGGUAUUCUUAAGAGGAAAAGCUUAGAGACUUGCUGGGAAGAGGGAGCAAAAAAAUCUUUUUGAAAGUCUUUGGGACUGUGAUAUGACCUAAGAUGGGUAAAGUCAAGCACAACUCUUUUUCUCCUCUCCUAAACAUGAUGAAAUAUUGUCUGGGAAAAACAAUAAAUUAGUGUCCGCAAAUCUCAAGAGGAAUGAAAAGGCAAAAAUGCAGGAAAAAUGCUAAAGGAAAAACGGUCUGCAUUUGAACUCUCCAGAAGAUGAAGUGUCCUUCUAUCUCUAUUUCUUCUUCUUCCCCGUGAAAGUCAAGCUGUGAGCAUGUGAGGGGGCAGUGCAUCUCAAUUGCAUUCUGCCAUCGUCCUGAUAAAUCCAGCAGUAUGUGGCAGCCCCCUUUAGAUACUGAAAGGCUGCUGUCAUAUCUCCCCAGAACCUUUUCUUCUUUGUGAUGAACAGCCCCAGCUCUCAUCCUGUCCUCGUAGAGAAGUGUUCCAUCCCUUGGAUCAUUUUUUUGGCCCUUGUCUGAAUGUGCUCCAACAGCUCCAUGUCUCUCCUGUAUUGAGGACUCCACAUCUGGACACAGUACUCCAGGUGAGGUCUCGCAGCACAGAGCAGAGGGACAGGAUCACUCCCUUGACUUGCUGGCCAUGCUCCUUUUGAUGCAGCCCAGGAUAUGGUUGGAUUUCUGGGCUGUGAGGGUACACUGCUGGCUCAUGUCCAGCUUGCCAUCCACCAUUACCACCACGUCCUUUUUGGCAGGACUAUGCUCAAUUUGCCAAAUGAAGUAUGUGAAAUAAGAGGUCUUGAUAUCUUCAAUUCAGCCUUUGGGAGAUCUAAAUUAUUUUCUUGGAGAUGAAGUUGUUAACCCUCAUAGCUAAGUUUGACCUAAAUCCGUGAAGGUCAGAAAUAGCCCUUUUGAGUUUCCAUUUUAAACUACAGGUUUCGCCAACUGUGUUUUAACUUGCUUUAUUCAAACAAACAAACAAACAAAAACAAAAAACCAAAACCAACCAACCAACCAAACAAAAACCCCACACAAUGAAUGAAAUAUUCCCACUAGUUAAGAGUGACCUUGGAAAUAAUUCACAAAUGUUAAGCACAGUUACACUGAUGCAUGGGCAGAUUGGUUGGAGCUAUACUCAUUAAGCAAAAAUAUCUCAAAAAGAAACCAUGCACUGAAACACAGUGGCAGUACAUAUGCAAAAUAAUAAAUCUUUUACAAAGUCCCAUCAGUACUGGGGAAAUUCUUCAUGAUUGGUGGACUUUGCCUGUGUCCCAGCUGAUUCAAAGUCAAUGGUCAUGCAGUUAUACUGUACUGUAUAUCAUCUAAAAAGCAAUUUUCUCUCCAUUUGCAGGAAAGCUUCAGAUUUGAUC
ensembl:lncRNA